rnacentral:rRNA from 1 species
UCGAGAAUCUUUCACAAUGGGCGAAAGCCUGAUGGAGCGACGCCGUGUGGAGGACGAAGGUCUUCGGAUCGUAAACUCCUGUCAUCGAGGAACAAGGCCCCGCUUUCGCGGGGAUUGAUAGUACCCGAAGAGGAAGGGACGGCUAACUCUGUGCCAGCAGCCGCGGUAAUACAGAGGUCUCAAGCGUUGUUCGGAUUCACUGGGCGUAAAGGAUGCGUAGGCGGUCGGCUAAGUCACAUGUGAAAUCUCGGGGCUCAACCUCGAAACUGCAUGCGAUACUGGUCGGCUCGAGGGACGGAGAGGAGACUGGAAUUCACGGUGUAGCAGUGAAAUGCGUGGAUAUCGUGAGGAACGCCAGUGGCGAAAGCGGGUCUCUGGACGGCACCUGACGCUGAGGCAUGAAGGCCAGGGGAGCGAACGG